AGCACGCCGCGGUGAAUACGUUCCCGGGCCUUGUACACACCGCCCGUCACACCAUGAGAGUUUGUAACACCCGAAGCCGGUGGCGUAACCCUUUUAGGGAGCGAGCCGUCUAAGGUGGGACAAAUGAUUAGGGUGAAGUCGUAACAAGGUAGCCGUAGGAGAACCUGCGGCUGGAUCACCUCCUUUCUAAGGAA
rnacentral:rRNA from 1 species